AAUGAACGUUGGCGGCAUGGAUUAGGCAUGCAAGUCGAGCGAGAAGGGUUUUGAAGCUUGUUUUGAAACCCGGAAAGCGGCGCAAGGGAGAGUAACGAGUAGUUAUCUACCCCAAGGCCCGGAAUAGCUGCGGGAAACUGCAGGUAAUGCCGGAUAAUAUCCCCGGAUCAAAGGUGUGAUUCCGCCUUGGGAGGAGACUGCUUUGUACUAGCUAGUUGGUAGGGUAAUGGCCUACCAAGGCUACGAUGCAUAGCGGGCGUGAGAGCGUGGCCCGUCUCACUGGGGCUGACACACUGCCCAGACGCCUACGGGUGGCUGCAGUCGAGAAUCUUCGGUAAUGGGCGAAAGCCUGACCGAGCGAUGCCGCGUGCGGGAUGAAGGCCCUCGGGUUGUAAACCGCUGUCGUAGAGGAGAAAGGUCUGAUGAAGAAUCAGAUUUGAUCUAUUCUAGGAGGAAGUCCGGGCUAAGUUCGUGC
rnacentral:rRNA from 1 species